rnacentral:rRNA from 1 species
AUGGACCUUAUGGCGCAUUAGCUGGUUGGCGGGGUAACGGCCCACCGAGGCGACGAUGCGUAGCCGACCUGAGAGGGUGACCGGCCACACUGGGACUGAGACACGGCCCAGACUCCUACGGGAGGCAGCAGUAGGGAAUUUUCGGCAAUGGGGGAAACCCUGACCGAGCAACGCCGCGUGAAGGAAGAAGGUUUUCGGAUUGUAAACUUCUGUUAUAAAGGAAGAACGGCGGCUACAGGAAAUGGUAGCCGAGUGACGG